CCCUCCCUUAAAUUGAGGGGAAAUCCUGGAGAAACGCCUUGCACACUCAGAAACAAACAAGAGAGAUGGUCACGGUGGCCAAGUCUGCAGUUCACCUCUGUGGCCACUUCCCUCUGGAUGAAGCCCUCAGCCAUGGUCUCCUCUUCACGAGAUUAUAAGGAAAGAUAAUUCAGAUGGAAAUCUUUUUUACCCAGACUGCUGGAAAUGCAAUGAUUGUUACUACAAGGAUUGAAGGCGAUGGGCUGGAAACACGCACCCAGCUCAGACCCUGCCUUCAGUCGGUGCCGGAAUCCUUCCUUGACCCCAGCCUCACCGUGAGACACCGGGCCCUUCACUCAAAAAGGGCUCCGUCGGUCAGCACCUUGGCGGCCCACUACCCACCGUCCACCUGGUGGAGGUUGAGAGGCAGACACAGGCACUGGACAUUGAUGGAGAAGUGAGGGAAGGUGAGCAAUAGGCUAGACUGCAUGUGGACCCCGAUGACAUGGCACUUUGUUUCUGACCAGUCAGGACACACAAGAGGCCCGGCGCAAACAUAACAAAGCCCGCAGACAUUCUGUCCCCACGAAGAACAGACGCCACUCCACUUCCUAGCAUCUUGACGGGCUAUCCGAGCGCGGAGUCAGUU